rnacentral:rRNA from 1 species
AUUGAACGCUGGCGGCAUGCCUUACACAUGCAAGUCGAACGGUAACGCGGGGCAACCUGGCGACGAGUGGCGAACGGGUGAGUAAUGCAUCGGAACGUGCCUGGUAGUGGGGGAUAACUGCUCGAAAGAGCAGCUAAUACCGCAUACGACCUGAGGGUGAAAGGGGGGGAUCGCAAGACCUCUCGCUAUCAGAGCGGCCGAUGUCGGAUUAGCUAGUUGGUGGGGUAAAGGCCCACCAAGGCAACGAUCCGUAGCUGGUCUGAGAGGACGACCAGCGACACUGGGACUGAGACACGGCCCAGACUCCUACGGGAGGCAGCAGUGGGGAAUUUUGGACAAUGGACGCAAGUCUGAUCCAGCCAUGCCGCGUGCGGGAAGAAGGCCUUCGGGUUGUAAACCGCUUUUGUCAGGGAAGAAAUCUUCUGGGCUAAUACCCUGGGAGGAUGACGGUACCUGAAGAAUAAGCACCGGCUAACUACGUGCCAGCCGCCGCCGCGGUAA